GCUCCCAUAGCUCAGUCGGUAGAGCACCCGCCUGUUAAGCGGUUGGUCGUAGGUUCAAGUCCUUCUGGGAGCG
rnacentral:tRNA from 1 species